AUUGAACGCUGGCGGCAGGCCUAACACAUGCAAGUCGAACGGUAACACGAAAAGGCUUGCCGUUUAGCGGUCGCGUGGGGCGGGGGGGUGACACGUAUAUGAGAUUCCCAUAUGGCGGGGGGGACUUCGUGGAAACGGUAGCUAUAACCGCGUAUAGGACCAACGGCAGAGAGCAGGAGUUACGGGCCUCUUGCCUGCGGCUUUGAGACGAUGUCGGAUUAGCUAGGUGGGGGGGUAAGGGCACACCAAGGCGACGAUCCGUAGCUGGUCUGAGAGGAUGAUCAGCCACACUGGAACUGAGACACGGUCCAGACUCCUACGGGAGGCAGCAGUGGGGAAUAUUGCACAAUGGGCGCAAGCCUGAUGCAGCCAUGCCGCGUGAGUGAAGAAGGCCUUCGGGUUGUAAAGCACUUUUAUUGGGGAAGAAGAGAAGAAAGUUAAUACCUUGACGUAUUGACGGUACCCAAAGAAAAAGCACCGGCUAACUCCGUG
rnacentral:rRNA from 1 species